rnacentral:lncRNA from 1 species
UUGCCUUCUUUCAAACAAGGGAAUAAACAUGUUUGUACCACUGAGCUGGCUGGACAACAGAGACCUGCGCUGCACUGUCUUUAUUUACCUUCAUACACGUCUUUAUUUACCUUCACACGCCGUCUUUAUUUACCUUUACACGCCGUCUUUAUUUACCUUCACACGCCGUCUUUAUUUACCUUCACACGCCGUCUUUAUUUACCUUCACACGCCGUCUUUAUUUACCUUCACACGCCUUCUUUAUUUACCUUCAUACACGUCUUUAUUUACCUUCAUACGCCGUCUUUAUUUACCUUCACACGCCGUCUUUAUUUACCUUCAUACACCGUCUUUAUUUACCUUCAUACACCGUCUUUAUUUACCUUCACACGCCGUCUUUAUUUACCUUCACACACCGUCUUUAUUUACCUUCACACUCCGUCUUUGUUUACCUUCAUACACGUCUUCAUUUACCUUCAUACACGUCUUUAUUUACCUUCACACGCCGUCUUUAUUUACCUUCACACGCCGUCUUUAUUUACCUUCAUAGACAUCUUUAUUUACCUUCAUACACGUCUUUAUUUACCUUCAUACGCCGUCUUUAUUUACCUUCAUACGCCGUCUUUAUUUACCUUCAUACGCCGUCUUUAUUUACCUUCAUACACCGUCUUUAUUUACCUUCACACGCCGUCUUUAUUUACCUUCACACGCCGUCUUUAUUUACCUUCAUACGCCGUCUUUAUUUACCUUCAUACACCGUCUUUAUUUACCUUCACACGCCGUCUUUGUUUACCUUCAUACACGUCUUUAUUUACCUUCAUACGCCGUCUUUAUUUACCUUCAUACACCGUCUUUAUUUACCUUCACACUCCGUCUUUGUUUACCUUCAUACACGUCUUUAUUUACCUUCACACGCCGUCUUUAUUUACCUUCAUACGCCGUCUUUAUUUACCUUCAUACACCGUCUUUAUUUACCUUCACACUCCGUCUUUGUUUACCUUCAUACACCGUCUUUAUUUACCUUCACACGCCGUCUUUAUUUACCUUCAUACACGUCUUUAUUUACCUUCAUACGCCGUCUUUAUUUACCUUCAUACACGUCUUUAUUUACCUUCACACGCCGUCUUUAUUUACCUUCAUACACGUCUUUAUUUACCUUCAUACACGUCUUUAUUUACCUUCACACGCCGUCUUUAUUUACCUUCACACUCCGUCUUUAUUUACCUUCACACGCCGCCUUUAUUUACCUUCACACGCCGUCUUUAUUUACCUUCACACGCCGUCUUUAUUUACCUUCACACUCCGUCUUUAUUUACCUUCACAUUCCGUCUUUAUUUACCUUCACACGCCGUCUUUAUUUACCUUCACACACCGUCUUUAUUUAUCUUCACACUCCGUCUUUAUUUACCUUCAUACACGUCUUUAUUUACCUUCACACGCCGUCUUUAUUUACCUUCACACGCCGUCUUUAUUUACCUUCAUACAUGUCUUUAUUUACCUUCACACGCCGUCUUUAUUUACCUUCACACACCGUCUUUAUUUACCUUCACACGCCAUCUUUAUUUACCUUCACACGCCGUCUUUAUUUACCUUCACACUCCGUCUUUAUUUACCUUCACACGCCGUCUUUAUUUACCUUCACACUCCGUCUUUAUUUACCUUCAUACACCGUCUUUAUUUACCUUCACACUCCGUCUUUGUUUACCUUCAUACACGUCUUUAUUUACCUUCACACGCCGUCUUUAUUUACCUUCACACGCCGUCUUUAUUUACCUUCACACUCCGUCUUUGUUUACCUUCAUACACGUCUUUAUUUACCUUCACACGCCGUCUUUAUUUACCUUCACACGCCGUCUUUAUUUACCUUCACACUCCGUCUUUGUUUACCUUCAUACACGUCUUUAUUUACCUUCACACGCCGUCUUUAUUUACCUUCAUACGCCGUCUUUAUUUACCUUCAUACACGUCUUUGUUUACCUUCAUACACGUCUUUGUUUACCUUCACACGCCGUCUUUAUUUACCUUCAUACGCCGUCUUUAUUUACCUUCAUACACGUCUUUGUUUACCUUCAUACGCCGUCUUUAUUUACCUUCAUACACGUCUUUGUUUACCUUCAUACACGUCUUUAUUUACCUUCACACGCCGUCUUUAUUUACCUUCAUACACCGUCUUUAUUUACCUUCACACUCCGUCUUUGUUUACCUUCAUACACCGUCUUAUUUACCUUCACACGCCGUCUUUAUUUACCUUCAUACACGUCUUUAUUUACCUUCAUACGCCGUCUUUAUUUACCUUCAUACACCAUAUUUAUUUAUCUUCACACGCCGUCUUUAUUUACCUUCAUAGACAUCUUUAUUUACCUUCACACACCGUCUUUAUUUACCUUCACACGCCGUCUUUAUUUACCUUCACACACCGUCUUUAUUUACCUUCACACACCGUCUUUAUUUACCUUCACACGCCUUCUUUAUUUACCUUCACACGCCGUCUUUAUUUACCUUCACACACCGUCUUUAUUUACCUUCAUAGACGUCUUUAUUUACCUUCCUACACCAUAUUUAUUUACCUUCACACACAGUCUUUAUUUACCUUCACACACCGUCUUUAUUUACCUUCAUAGACAUCUUUAUUUACCUUCAUACACCAUAUUUAUUUACCUUCAUACACCAUAUUUAUUUACCUUCACACACAGUCUUUAUUUACCUUCAUACACCAUAUUUAUUUACCUUCAUACACCAUAUUUAUUUACCUUCACACACCGUCUUUAUUUACCUUCACACGCCGUCUUUCUUUACCUUCACACGCCGUCUUUAUUUACCUUCACACACCGUCUUUAUUUACCUUCAUACGCCGUCUUUAUUUACCUUCACACUCCGUCUUUAUUUACCUUCAUAUACGUCUUUAUUUACCUUCAUACACCGUCUUUAUUUACCUUCAUACACCGUCUUUAUUUACCUUCAUAG